rnacentral:rRNA from 1 species
CGCACGGGUGAGUAACGCGUAUGCAACCUACCCUUUACUGGGGGAUAGCCCGAAGAAAUUCGGAUUAAGUACCUCAUAAUAUUAUUCUUUCACCUGAAGGAAUAAUUAAAACUCCGGUGGUAAAGGAUGGGCAUGCGUGACAUUAGGUAGUUGGUAAGGUAACGGCUUACCAAGCCUACGAUGUCUAGGGGGCCUGAGAGGGUAGUCCCCCACACUGGUACUGAGACACGGACAG